AAGAGAUUAAACGCAAUAGGGGAAGAACACAUUCAAGGCAAUUCCUAAUGGGUCUUACAAAGCAACUCCUUUUCCUGUCAUGAUGAGACAGAAUUUUAGCAAGAGGGGUCCCCUUCUGGAUGUUAGUGUGGCUUAUUUUAUGGUGAUCUUAGAAAAGAAAUCAAGAAACUAUUAUGUUUUUUACUCCUGGUCUCCCAUACACACAGCUAGACGCCGUAGUCUUAACUGUCUCUGUCUGUCUCAAAGUGUUCAACUUUAGUUUCUCUCACUCGAAUCGAAUUCGCGACUGGUGACUUGUGACUAGUAUGAAAAAGAUUUCGGUGCGGCUAAUGGAAAUGAAUUUGACGCACCAAAACUUGAAACUUUUGUAAGCUUCAUGGCUAUUUCUGCAAAGACCAGUUCUGAAGAAUUGUAUCGCAAAGAAGGAUUAGAACGUAGAAGACUAGAAGCAGAGAAAGGUCCAAUGGUCCUGAUGAUUGAUUGCGCAUCUGGGGAUCAGAAGUCGGAGAUAUGGAGUCGGUAUUCUUCUCUUUCAAAAGCUGGAUCGUACCCAUCAACCAUCAAUCAUUGAUCCCUGGACGGAUGGCCGUCACAGGUCUCACUCUCAACCCAGCCACCGAUCUGCUCUGCUCGCUUCCUUUAUGAAGAAAUUCCAAAAAAUAUCGAUCCAGGCGUACUGCGUACUUGUUCUUUCCUUUCUAUCGAUUCUUGGAAUGAUGACGCCAAGAGUGCCACGCUACAACGAGCAGAGCAGCACUUCUUUUUCUUUCUAACCAAUUUAACUACUCAGGAGUUAGGAGUUAGGAGUUAGGAGACUCGGGACUGACUGCUCCACAUGGCUGCAACCAUUUCCUUCUCUUUCUGCUCAGUUCCCCUCCCGCUUCCCGCUUUACACUCAGCCCCUUAGGAACCCUGUCCCUAAAUCCAUUCCAAAAAUCAUUAUCUCCUAAACCUGCGCAUUUUCUGCUCCCUCUACACGAAUUCGACACUUUGAAGUUUUCUCCUGCGUAUUCCUCGUCUCAUUCUUCUUCUUCUUCUUCUCAAUUAUAUCUCAAAGACCAACUCAGAACUGGACGGUUUCUUGGUAGCUAAGUUAAGAAGCUGCAAAUCUUUUUUAUAUUCUCAUGAAUUUGUUUCUGGGUCGUUGUUCGUUCGUGUGAUGGGAGCAAAAUAGAUGGAUGCCACAGUUGGGUUGCUUUCCGAGUCGUUUGCAGAAUUCCACGUCUCUGCCUUACGGAUUCGUCCAAUUCUUGGCGUUUUUGAUGAAUCAGUGUGUGAUUGAGAGGAACCCAACUGCCCCCACAUGGCCAAGCUCAUUGGGUUCUAAAGAGGAUGGUGAGGAGAAGUUAGCCGGUACAGUUCAAGUUUCUUUCAAUUACCAAGGUGCCCAUGCUUCUCCUCCAACCCCGAUUUCUCCGAAGGAUUCCCCUUAUAUAUGUAUGUAUGGGAAGAAUCAGCUCCGAAGGAGGGGCAUUGGUUGGCAUCUUUUGAAGGCAUGUAGGAAGAACUGAUGUCACAGAUGAGUUGUACAUCAAGAGAAGUUAACCUGGACUGCAGAAUGAUUGAUACAGCUCCUCUUAAAAUGUAUACUAAAGCAGGUUACAGCAUUGUCAAGACAGAUAACAUCUUUACGUCGUUAUCCUGUUGACAUUCCAUCGAUGUAAGCACCUGAUGUGCAAGAGAUUGUUAAUUUUCAAAGACCACUCAGAACUGGAUAUCACAAAUCCUAAUGAGGAAUUUCCUUCAUAAAGGUUGCAAAAAUGAAUAGUGUUUUCCAAUGCAUGCACAACUUGUACAACGGAGUUCUCCUCUUUCCUUCUGUAACGGCUGGUUUUCAUGGCAAC